GUGAGACCAGGAUUGAACAGACCCAGUGUGAUAACUCCUGUGAGUCAUGGAGUUAGCCCCACCAGUCCUGUGAGAGAGCAGCACUACCCCUGUUCUCCACGCUUUCCUUCUGAUAAAAACAAUAUUAUUAACGUAACAUAAUGAGCACAUCAGCCCCAACAGGAUGAGAAGAGAAACAGAUGGAGGCAGAGUUACAAAAUGACAAAGUUUAUUCCUGAGCAACUUGGAGUACAUUUUCACAUCAGAUCCAUUGCAACAGCUGGAUAUCUACUGAAGAAAUGCAUGUGCAGUGCCUCCCCAAAGACGGGGUGCAUUCUCAAGGUUUCUUCAUCCUCGGAUUCAAAGGGCAGUCGAUUCCCUUUCUCUGCAUUAUUAAUCAGCGAAAGCCAGACCGUCGAACGCCCGCGCAUCUCAGCAGAGCUGUUCAGGCAGCAGUCCUUCAGUGAAAAACAAGCAAGGCGCUCCCGUUAUCAGCCAAUGAGGAUGCGAAGAGAGACGGAGCGGAGCGGUAGGGGGCCGGGUUCUACCUGUGAUGUGUCCACAUUCCCUCUGACUUACGCGGGGCAGGUAAAAGAGGCGUACUGUGUUUGUCAGUGAGAGACAGAUGUACAUGAC